CGGGGGGGGCAAGUCGUUGUUCGGAACUACUGGGCGUAAAGCGCACAUAGGCGGAUCGAUCAGUCAGGGGUGAAAUCCCAGGGCUCAACCCUGGAACUGCCUUUGAUACUGUCGAUCUGGAGUAUGGAAGAGGUGAGUGGAAUUCCGAGUGUAGAGGUGAAAUUCGUAGAUAUUCGGAGGAACACCAGUGGCGAAGGCGGCUCACUGGUCCAUUACUGACGCUGAGGUGCGAAAGCGUGGGAGCAAACAGGAUUAGAUACCCUGGUAGUCCACGCCGUAAACGAUGAAUGUUAGCCGUCGGGCAGUAUACUGUUCGGUGGCGCAGCUAACGCAUUAAACAUUCCGCCUGGGGAGUACGGUCGCAAGAUUA
rnacentral:rRNA from 1 species